CAAUAGCGUUACAAAAGGAUAUCAUUUUGUAUUUAUUGAGGCAUACCAAAAAAAAGCCAACAGACGUUUGUGAUAGGUCUACAGAAGUCAAUUAGGAUGUAGCUCACUUGUUCUUGACUGGGUACAUGAAGGACUUGCUGUUGGAAUCUUGGAGAGUAAGCCAAGGUUGAUUUUUAAAGAUGGGUUCGGAUGUGUCGACUGAGGCAGAGCCCUCGAAUAAAACAUACACAGGAAAAAGAGAUCCAGGCCGAAGGAAUUCACAUCGAGUUCUUGUCGAGAAGGAUAGUUUAAGAUUCAAGAGAAGACUCACUCUUUUAGAGAAUAAAUACGAGCUGGAUGCAUCAACUACAACCAGUCAGCCCACAACGUCCACCAACGGCUUUCAUCCUGAUGCCCUAACAAGUAUUUCUGAAGACGAUGAUGUCUAUUUCCCCUAUGAAAAUCUCGUGCUGGAAGGCGGUGGAAGCCAGGGAAAUGCAUACAUUGGCGCCAUAAUGGAAAUGGAGCGACUCAACGUCUUGGAUAAGAUACGACGUUUCGCAGGUUCCAGCAUAGGAUCUUUGACGGCGUGUUACCUUGCUUUGGGCUAUGGGUCUAGCAAAUUGCUGUCUAUUUUGAACGAUGGUCCUCAUUUCGACGAUCUCUUAGAUGCAACUUGUGGAAAAUUAAGCCUGUUGCCAAACCUGUAUCGUUACAUGGGCUGGCAUCCGGGAAGAUAUUUCUACACUGUGCUUGGUGAGGAUAUUGCUGAAAAGCUCGGAGACAAGAAUGCCACAUUCAAAGACCUUUACGAUCAGAAUGGGAAAGAAUUAUGUGUAGUGGUGACCAAUCUAAGUACGAUGAUGGAGGAGUACUGCCACGUCAAGACCACUCCGAACAUACCCAUAAGAUCAGCUGUAAGAAUGUCGAUAUCUGCUCCAUUUGUAUUUGUUCCCGUCGAGCGGCAUCAUAUGGGCCGAACAGAUCUCUACAUCGACGGUGGUGUUUUGUGUAACUAUCCAGUUCAUUGUUUUGAUGGAUGGUGGCUUUCUAUGAAACCCGAAGACUCUCUCUUAAAGAGAAUGCAACCCCUGGAGGAUGCAGCCAAGCUUCUCACCAAGAAAGAAAGAUUCGGAAUAUUCAACGACAAGACAUUGGGAAUGAUUAUAUACAGUGAUUAUGAUUCCCACGUACUUGCAACCAAUCCCGACCUAGAAGCACCAGUAGCACCUAUACCAGACACAAAACUUGCCAGAGCACACCAAAAAGUGAAAAUGAAGAGAGAAUUGAAUUGUAAACAGCAUCGUCUCGUGACAGACGCAAUGACGAGAUUUCUCAAAGUUCUGGAUCAGAACUGUUUAGAAGGCACCACAAUUAAUAAGAACGAAUUCCUGCAAGCCUUCAAUGAUAAUGAGGAGUUCACAUCGGAUCACGCGAGUAUUCUCUUCGGUGAAGACCUCACUGUCCAGGAAAUAUUCAGCAGUAUUGAUGCCAAUUCUGAUGGGAGAUCGAUUUCAAUGAGCUGAUGUCUUUAGCUGAGCAGGAAGGCGUAGGUAUCCAAACCCACCACAUUGGAACAGGACAUCAAGAGCUCGAGAACACGACUGAGUAUCUCGCUGGUAUCUUCAAAAUGCUUCUCAUGAAUGUAAAAAGAGCUUUCCUAGAGGGCAAUGAUAUUGAAAGAACGGUUCUUAUCAACACCGUAUAUGUCAAAUCCUUAGACUUCAGCCCAGAGAAGGAAGACUUGGACUUUCUAGUAGAGCAAGGGCGUCGUGGACUCCAGACUUUCCUCAAGUAUCAGAAGAACAAAGGUACAAGGCUGUGAAGGGAAAUA
rnacentral:misc_RNA from 1 species